rnacentral:lncRNA from 1 species
UUGAGCCUGGGAGGGAAGCGGAGGCUGCAGUGAGCAUUGAUCGCACCACUGCACUCCAGCCUAUGCAACAGGGCGAGACCCUGUCUCAAAAAAACCAAAAACAAACUAACAAAAAAACAAGCAAAAUGCAGAAACAUUUACAAGACCAUGUCAGCUUCAUAUUAACAGAAGAAACCAUGUGAGAUAAAAUUUUUAUUAUUUUUAACCAAAAAGAAUUGACAAUCCAAAAGAAAAACAUGUAGAAAGUAUAAGAAUUUAACACUCUCUGCUGUAUGGUUAGAAUUAAUCAGAUGCUCAAUGUUUAAAAUAAUUUCAAAAAAAGAAUACCAGUAAGACCAACAUGGAGAAACCCUGUCUCUGGACUACAGGCGUGCACCACCACGCCCAGCUAACUUUUGUAUUUUCAGUAGAGACGGGGUUUCACUAUGUUGGCCAGGAUGGUCUCGAUCUCUUGACCUCAUGAUCCGCUCGCCUCGGCCUCCCAAAGUGCUGGGGUUACAGGCAUGAGCCACUGCGCCCGGCCUCAGCCAAUAUUU